rnacentral:rRNA from 1 species
UGGGGAAUAUUGCACAAUGGGCGAAAGCCUGAUGCAGCGACGCCGCGUGAGGGAUGAGGGCCUUCGGGUUGUAAACCUCUUUCGCUCAUGGUCAAGCCGCAACAGUGGUUGUGGUGAGGGUAGUGGGUAAAGAAGCACCGGCUAACUACGUGCCAGCAGCCGCGGUAAUACGUAGGGUGCGGGCGUUGUCCGGAAUUAUUGGGCGUAAAGGGCUUGUAGGCGGUUUGUCGCGUCUGCCGUGAAAUCCUCUGGCUUAACUGGGGGCGUGCGGUGGGUACGGGCAGGCUUGAGUGCGGUAGGGGAGACUGGAACUCCUGGUGUAGCGGUGGAAUGCGCAGAUAUCAGGAAGAACACCGGUGGCGAAGGCGGGUCUCUGGGCCGUUACUGACGCUGAGGAGCGAAAGCGUGGGGAGCGAACAGGAUUAGAUACCCUGGUAGUCCACGCUGUAAACGUUGGGCACUAGGUGUGGGGGCCACCCGUGGUUUCUGCGCCGUAGCUAACGCUUUAAGUGCCCCGCCUGGGGAGUACGGCCGCAAGGCUA